GACGAACGCUGGCGGCGUGCCUAAUACAUGCAAGUAGAACGCUGAAGGAGGAGCUUACUUCUCUGGAUGAGUUGCGAACGGGUGAGUAACGCGUAGGUAACCUGCCUGGUAGCGGGGGAUAACUAUUGGAAACGAUAGCUAAUACCGCAUAAGAGUAGAUGUUGCAUGACAUUUACUUAAAAGGUGCACUUGCACCACUACCAGAUGGACCUGCGUUGGAUUAGCUAGUUGGUGGGGUAACGGCUUACCAAGGUGACGAUACAUAGCCGACCUGAGAGGGUGGUCGGCCACACUGGGACUGAGACACGGCCCAGACUCCUACGGGAGGCAGCAGUAGGGAAUCUUCGGCAAUGGACGGAAGUCUGACCGAGCAACGCCGCGUGAGUGAAGAAGAUUUUCGGAUCGUAAAGCUCUGUUGUAAGAGAAGAACGAGUGUGAGAGUGGAAAGUUCACACUGUGACGGUAUCUUUCCAGAAAGGGACGGCUAACUACGUGCCAGCCGCCGCCGUAA
rnacentral:rRNA from 1 species